AGAUACGAGAGUGGCCUGGCUAUGACAUCUGUCACCUCAUUGAUUGCCAGGGUCAAUUCAGCUGAUCUGGCUGGCUAGGUGGGUGUGCCCUUCCUCCCCAACACUCCAUGCAAGUCCCUCCAGAAGCUGUCCAGGCAGUGGAGAAAGACUACCUCCCCUGAUAGAGGAGAACCAUAUUUCAAUCAAGGGUGUACAAGUAGCUGUGACAGUCUGCUAGAACUUUCAAUCUCUCAAGGUCUAUGUGUAAGAGAACAUAGGGUAGUCAAGCUCCCAAAACUCCAGACACAUCUUUAAAAAAAGAAAGGAAGAAAGAAAGAAUAUGUUUUCUUUAUACUUA
ensembl:misc_RNA 7SK 7SK RNA